ACCCCCACAUUUUGACCUCGGAUCAGGUAGG
rnacentral:rRNA from 1 species